rnacentral:tRNA from 3 species
GCCCCUGUAGUUCAACGGACAGAAUGGCUCCCUUCUAAGGAGCAGAUCCAAGUUCGAUUCUUGGCAGGGGCG